rnacentral:rRNA from 1 species
UACGUAGGGCGCAAGCGUUGUCCGGAAUUAUUGGGCGUAAAGAGCUCGUAGGCGGUUUGUCGCGUCUGCUGUGAAAUCCCGAGGCUCAACCUCGGGCUUGCAGUGGGUACGGGCAGACUAGAGUGCGGUAGGGGAGACUGGAAUUCCUGGUGUAGCGGUGGAAUGCGCAGAUAUCAGGAGGAACACCGAUGGCGAAGGCAGGUCUCUGGGCCGCAACUGACGCUGGAGGAGCGGAAA